rnacentral:rRNA from 1 species
GCUCUCGGGUGACGAGUGGCGGACGGGCCGAGUAAUGUCUGGGAAACUGCCUGAUGGAGGGGGAUAACUACUGGAAACGGUAGCUAAUACCGCAUAACGUCGCAAGACCAAAGAGGGGGACCUUCGGGCCUCUUGCCAUCAGAUGUGCCCAGAUGGGAUUAGCUAGUAGGUGGGGUAACGGCUCACCUAGGCGACGAUCCCUAGCUGGUCUGAGAGGAUGACCAGCCACACUGGAACUGAGACACGGUCCAGACUCCUACGGGAGGCAGCAGUGGGGAAUAUUGCACAAUGGGCGCAAGCCUGAUGCAGCCAUGCCGCGUGUAUGAAGAAGGCCUUCGGGUUGUAAAGUACUUUCAGCGGGGAGGAAGGUGUUGUGGUUAAUAACCGCAGCAAUUGACGUUACCCGCAGAAGAAGCACCGGCUAACUCCGUGCCAGCAGCCGCGGUAAUACGGAGGGUGCAAGCGUUAAUCGGAAUUACUGGGCGUAAAGCGCACGCAGGCGGUCUGUCAAGUCGGAUGUGAAAUCCCCGGGCUCAACCUGGGAACUGCAUUCGAAACUGGCAGGCUAGAGUCUUGUAGAGGGGGGUAGAAUUCCAGGUGUAGCGGUGAAAUGCGUAGAGAUCUGGAGGAAUACCGGUGGCGAAGG